rnacentral:rRNA from 1 species
AUUGAACGCUGGCGGCAGGCCUAACACAUGCAAGUCGAGCGGAUGAAGGGAGCUUGCUCCUGGAUUCAGCGGCGGACGGGUGAGUAAUGCCUAGGAAUCUGCCUGGUAGUGGGGGAUAACGUCCGGAAACGGGCGCUAAUACCGCAUACGUCCUGAGGGAGAAAGUGGGGGAUCUUCGGACCUCACGCUAUCAGAUGAGCCUAGGUCGGAUUAGCUAGUUGGUGGGUAAAGGCCUACCAAGGCGACGAUCCGUAACUGGUCUGAGAGGAUGAUCAGUCACACUGGAACUGAGACAAGGUCCAGACUCCUACGGGAGGCAGCAGUGGGGAAUAUUGGACAAUGGGCGAAAGCCUGAUCCAGCCAUGCCGCGUGUGUGAAGAAGGUCUUCGGAUUGUAAAGCACUUUAAGUUGGGAGGAAGGGCAGUAAGUUAAUACCUUGCUGUUUUGACGUUACCAACAGAAUAAGCACCGGCUAACUUCGUG